GUCCACAGCUUGUAAAAACAAAAAGUCUCAGAAAUAAACAUUAAAAUUCAAGAUGGCGGUGAGACUGUACCCAGAGAAGGACAAUCCAGGCAACACUGACCAGAGACCUGCACUAGUUUGGAUGAAGAACGCUACAUACAUUUGUGAACCAUUUCUUGUGUUGGAAAAACAGGAGACCUGAAGAGUUCUUGAUGCUUUUGGUUUGCCUCAUCCAUUAUGUCAGCAAAGAACAGGAGUGGGCAGGAAACAGGAAUGCGCUGUUGAAAACAUGGCCAACCAACUGGAGCAGAGUCCACAAGCCUUUGUGCUUCAGGAUGGAUGUAAAAAACUCUUUGAUCAACCCCCAACUGAGAGAGUUGAGGUGGCUAUCUUUUGGAGACACCCCCGGCUGGUAGUGCUGCUGAAACUGGUGGAGGCAACAGAAAGAGAAGGGACGUGGCAAAGGUUGCUGCUAUUGAAAAAUACUUUGAGAGUGAGUGUGUGUGCAUGUGUGUAGCUGGGUAGGUCAUGGUACAUGGUAGAAAAAUACAGAAUUUAAAGCAUUAACACAAUACUUAACUCACAACCCACAACUACUGACAAUGGAAUUACUCUUUUAGAGUGAGUGAGGGAGAGAGACAGAAUAUUUCUGUAAAUGUUUAAUGUUAAUUUAGAAUAAUUAAUUUCUUUGAAUCAUUAUACAGUUUUAAAAUGUUUAAUUGUUUGUGUUUUUUAAUAUGAAAGAUGUCGAUUGUUGUAGAUGAA